GAUGAAGAACGUAGCGGAAUGCGAUAAGUAAUGUGAAUUGCAGAAUUCAGUGAAUCAUCGAAUCUUUGAACGCACAUUGCGCCCGCCAGUAUUCUGGCGGGCAUGCCUGUCUGAGCGUCAUUUCAACCCUCAUGCCCCUAGGGCGUGGUGUUGGGGAUCGGCCAAAGCCCGCGAGGGACGGCCGGCCCCUAAAUCUAGUGGCGGACCCGUCGUGGCCUCCUCUGCGAAGUAGUGAUAUUCCGCAUCGGAGAGCGAUGAGCCCCUGCCGUUAAACCCCCAACUUUCCAAGGUUGACCUCAGAUCAGGUAGGAAUACCCGCUGAACUUAAGCAUAUCAAUAAGCGGAGGA
rnacentral:misc_RNA from 1 species